CAACUCGCCUGCAUGAAGUCGGAGUUGCUAGUAAUCGCAGAUCAGAAUGCUGCGGUGAAUACGUUCCCGGGUCUUGUACACACCGCCCGUCACACCAUGGGGAGCCGGGAAUGCCCGAAGUCGGUGACCCAACCGUAAGGAGGGAGCCGCCGAAGGCAGGCCUGGUAACUGGGGUGAAGUCGUAACAAGGUACC
rnacentral:rRNA from 1 species